UAUGGAGAGUUUGAUCGUGGCUCAGGAUGAACGCUGGCGGCGUGCCUAAUACAUGCAAGUCGAGCGGGAACCUUGGAUUCGUCCGGGGGGAGAGCGGCGAACUGGUGAGUAAUACGUAGGUGACCUGCCCCGAAGAUGGGAAUAACCACCGGAAACGAUGGCUAAUACCCAAUGUGCUCGAUCGUUCAUUCGAUCGAGUAAAGCUCCGGCGCUUCGGGAUGGGCCUGCGGCCUAUCAGCUAGUUGGUGGGGUAAUGGCCUACCAAGGCGAAGACGGGUAGGGGGCGUGAGAGCGUGGUCCCCCACACUGGCACUGAGACACGGGCCAGACUCCUACGGGAGGCAGCAGUCGGGGAUAUUGCACAAUGGGCGAAAGCCCGAUGCAGCGACGCCGCGUGGGCGAUGAAGGCCUUCGGGUCGUAAAGCCCUUUUCUGGGAGAAGAGAUCAGGACGGUAUCCCAGGAAUAAGCGUCGGCUAACUACGUGCCAGCAGCCGCGGUAAAACGUAGGACGCAAGCGUUAUCCGGAUUUACUGGGCGUAAAGAGCGUUGAGGCGGUUCCGUAAGUUGGACGUGAAAGCCCCUGGCCUAACUGGGGGAGGUCGUUCAAUACUGCGGAGCUUGAGGACAGCAGAGGGAGGUGGAAUUCCCGGUGUAGUGGUGAAAUGCGUAGAUAUCGGGAGGAACACCUGUGGCGAAAGCGGCCUCCUGGGCUGCUCCUGACGCUGAAGGCGAAAGCUAGGGUAGCGAACGGGAUUAGAAACCCCGGUAGUCCUAGCCGUAAACGAUGGAUGCUAGGUGUGGGGGGUAUAGACUCCCUCCGUGCCGUAGCUAACGCGUUAAGCAUCCCGCCUGGAUACUACGGCCGCAAGGCUAAAAACCAAACGAAUUGACGGGGGCCCGCACAAGCAGCGGAGCGUGUGGUUUAAUUCGAUGCUACACGAAGAACCUUACCUGGGCUUGACAUGCAGGUAGUAGUGAAGCGAAAGCGGAACGACCCUUCGGGGAGCCUGCACAGGUGCUGCAUGGCUGUCGUCAGCUCGUGCCGUGAGGUGUCGGGUUAAGUCCCGUAACGAGCGCAACCCCUGUCCUUAGUUACAAGUGUCUAAGGGGACUGCCGGCGGCAAGCCGGAGGAAGGUGGGGACGACGUCAAGUCAGCAUGGCCCAUAUAUCCAGGGCUACACACACGCUACAAUGGCCAGUACAACGGGCAGCGAAACCGCGAGGUGGAGCGAAUCUCAGCAAAGCUGGUCAUAGUUCGAAUUGCAGGCUGCAACUCGCCUGCAUGAAGCUGGAGUUGCUAGUAACCGCGCGUCAGCUAUAGUGCGGUGAAUACGUUCCCGGGGCUUGUACACACCGCCCGUCACGUCAUGGGAGUCGGUAACGCCUGAAGCUGGUAGCCUAGCUCGCAAGAGGGGGCGCCAUCGAAGGCGGGGCUGGCGACUGGGACGAAGUCGUAACAAGGUAGCGGUACCGGAAGGUGCGGCUGGAUCACCUCCUUUCUAAGGA
rnacentral:rRNA from 1 species